UGAUUGGGUGGUUCUGGCCAGCUCGGGUGUCGCGUUCUCGUGGCGUGCGGAGGGCGGGGUCUGCGGGCCGUGCCGGGAGAGCAGGCCGGCGGCGUUCGUGGGUACCGAGCGGAGUGUAGGCGCUGAGGCCGGAAGCGGCCCUGCUCCGAGAGGCAUCGGUAGCCGCUCUGGCCCGGCUCGCGGGAAGCCCGGUCGACAGGAGGGACAGGCAAGGGCCCCGCUGCCUCCCUGCGUGUGUGAGGUCCCCCCACAGCGGCCGGGGAGCCACUCAUUACUCGUCGCUCUCGAGGGACACAGCGAUGACUGAGACAGCCUCCACGCCGCCCUCAGAGCACAGCCCGGGCGGAGACCCUCGCCAGACAGGCUGUGGGGCCCAGAGGGAGCGCCUGACACGAUUCAAGGAUCCAAUCCAAGAUGCUACGCUGCGUUUAUUCAUCACGUCUCCUUGGUCUCCUCCAACCUGUGACAGUUCCCCGGUCUCUCCUUGUUUUUCAUGCCCGUGACAGUUUGAGGAGUACCGGUCAGGUGUUUUCUAGAAUGUCCCUCAGUCUGAUCUGUCUGACGUUUUCCUCGCGGUUAGAUCGGGAUCAUAGGUGUGAGGAGGAGGACCCCUCAGCUGGUGUUGACCUGGCUCCCUUCAUUCCGGUGGCGUCUUCUGGGUUCCUCGGCUGGAGCGUCACUGUUUUUCCCUCUCUUUACUCUGUCACGAAAUCCAGCCCACACUCGGAGGGAGGAGAAUUAAGCUCCAGCUCCUGGAGGGAAAAAUACCAAAGAAUUUGUCUGCAUGUGUUAAGACCACCACAGUAACUAAUAAACAUGGGAAGAUACGUGGCAGCCGUGCAAAGGCCGUGCUGUUCUCAGUUCCACAGCUCGUUUUAGCGUUCGUCCACGGCAGUUACUACUGUGGUGUUCCAGUGGCGAUUUCCUAUUUCCUUCACUUCUUCUGCAGUUGUUAUUUGGGAUUCUUCUGUAGGAAGAUUUGUCCCCACUACCUUGUUUAUUUUCUUUGUACAGUCGUUAAUUUAUAUCAGUCUGGACUCACGGAUGUUUGUUUUAUUCUUUGGGUGUAACCCAAGAAUAUCGCAAUUAAUUUUUUCAGUCAGAUUGUUCCAGUUUGGGCCAUGGGGCUCUUUCAGGUUUCCUCCUGUGUUUUGUUUUUUUUUUUUCUUCCUCCCUUGAGCACCUCCUUACCUCCUGGCGCUGUGAGAUGCUCCAGACUUGUCUUGUGUUUUCCCUGCUCCGGCCCUGGGAUCGCCAUUUCUCCAGGGGGCCCUGGUUCCUUCUGUUGGAGGUGGACUGAGACACCUAGGUCUGGGCACUGAGCGUGGUCAUUGCUGCUGGGCUGUCACUGUUUCUAGUCCCCGUCAGCUGACAGAGCUGGCAAAUACAUGUCUUUGUACAAACCCAGUAUACCCAUGUCUAUACUCUGUAUGUGGAUAGAUACAGACAUCUGUGCAUGAAGAGAAACGUGAGUCUGUACUGAUAGCUCUGACCAGCCCGAGGGUUGGUCCUCGCCUCUCCCUGGCUUACUUAGUGACUUCCUUCUCCGACCGUGAGAAGCCUGGCUCUGUGGUCACUAUUCGUGUCUGUCUUGUGGGCCCCCUUGGCAGACGCUAGCAGCGCUGGCCGUUCCCGCCUUCUAUAAGGACACUCUCCCCUCCGUUUCUGUGAUGAUGCUGGCCCCUGAGCUUUCUCCUCUGUCUUGCUUCUUUGCAGGAAGUUCCUGUUUUCACGGAUCCCUUAAAUGUGGGGGCUCUUCUGUCCUCCCCCCUGGGCCAUCUUACACUCUUUUAUGGUCUCUUUCCUGUCUCUGUGCUGAUGGCACCCACUCUCUGCCCUCAGUUCUGACCUGUUCCCUGAGCCCCAGACCUGGGGGUCCUGAGGCCUCACGAAGCCCCCUCCUGCCCUCAGCCCUGGAUGAUCCCUGCGCCCCGAACACUCACCUUGUCCCAAAUUGCAAACCUGCUCCUCCUCUCGGCCCCUGUCUCAGGAGUGGCCCCUCCGUACCCCAGGCUCACGAGAGAGCCCCGAGCCCGUCUUUGAUGCCUCGCUCCCCACCCCGGCCACCAGCUCCACCCGUCAGUCUCCCUAGCUUGUCCACCAGGACUCCUGGCUGUCUCCCCCAUCUGCCCCCUUCUCGCCUUUCAUGGCCCUGCCUUGGUCCACCCUGUCCUCUCCCACCUUGUCUCUGCCUGACCUCCUCCCGGGCCCUGGCCUCCCGUCUCUCUGUAACCCACCUCCACUUGGCCCUUAGAGGGACUUUUGUGGAACGCAGAUCUGAUCAAGUCCUCCUGCCUGGAGCUUUCCCGUGUUUCUCCAGUGUCCUCAGGACAAGGUCCUAACUCCUUAACCCAAGGCUUGGUGCCACUGGCCCCUGACCAUCACCUCGGCCUGUGUCCUGACUGCCUAAGCUUCAGACACUGAACUUCUUGUUUCCUUGAACGUGACCCGUGCACCACCCGGGCCUCCGCGUGGACCCUGCGCCAGCAACCCUCAGCCCUGCCGGCCCUGCCCGGUCCGCGCCCACCCACUUUCUCCCCGCUCACAUUGUUUUGAGACAGUCCCAGACAUCAUCCUCUGUAGGGAUGGCGAGUAAAUGUCAGCAGUGGGCAUUUCUGAGUGUAGGAAGCAGGAGGGGAGCUUUACUGUUAAAAAAUGUUUGCAGGGAACAUGUUUUCAUCGCACAGUAAUGUGACACCAGUAGCUGUUGUGGGGGAAGAAGUUAACUAAACAAGAAACAGUCACAUCAUCUUUGAGUUUAAGAGGAAAAGACUUUCAGGAAUCAUCUUAUCUCUUUCAAGAUUCCAGAGCAGCAAGCAGAGAGUAGAGAUGUGUUUCUCUGGGCGUGGUGACCGCGACGCCACAGUGACCUUUAAGGGGUGCCUGUAAGCUUCCUUUUAAAUCACGCCAACUGAGGGAAUUUUCUACCGUUAAUUUUCACAGUUUUUGUAAACAUGACUCGUGAUUUAUCUAAAUGGUAUCUUACAAGCGUUAGGAACAACUAAAUUACAUAGAAGGACUUCAUCCGUGUGAAGGAAGGUUCCUCCGGUACAUUGGUGUUGGGAGAAUUCUUGGCUUCUACUCUGAUACGAGUGGCUACCGGGACGGUGAAUUCCGUGGAAAGGAGCCGUGAAUGCAUCCGUUUCGAGACCUUUUGCAGUUUUAAAUCUGACCAGCACGUGCUUUAAUAAUAAAUGGCAACAUUUACACGGCGCCACCUUCGCGCCAGGCACCUCGUCAGCUCUUGAUGUGCAUUGAUUCCGUGGUCCCCACCCAGCCCUCAGGACGGAGCUGCUGUCGUCGUGCCAGGUGGUCUGUGCGGCAUUCAGAACUGAAGGCCCUUCCCCCAGGUUCCAUCGCUAGACAGUGGCAGCACUGAGGCUUGAACCCGGGUCCUGGUUGCUUCUACUGUCUGUGCCUUCAAGCACCUUUCUCCUGGAUUCCAUUCUCAAAGGAGAUGCUCACGUUGCUGCUGGUGCAGUCGCUUCUUUUUGGAAGAAGGGCUUCAAUUACUUUUCUCUCCAGCUGCUAAAAAUCUUUUUUGACAUCCCCAAUUAUUUGUAAAGAAAAAGACUUUUAACUGCUUUUUUAGGGACAAUUUCCAACGUACACAAAAGCAGAGAGAAAAGUGUAAUGAACGCCCACGUCCCCAUCAUCCAGCUGCUACAGUCACUGUGAGGGGGCCAUUUCUGUGCCGUCCAUGUCCUGCACAUUUUUCUUCCCUGCUCAGUUAUUUUGAAGCGAAUCUAGAUACAUCUUUUUAAGACAUUUUCUUUUAAAGGAAAGGUAACCCACAAUUCCUUGCUCCGAGUCCUCCCUGAGCCUCUGUUCCCACUCCCCCAGUUUCCAGAAGCAGAGGGAUCUGUGCGUGUGGGACACCAUCCCCUGGCUCUCCCUGGCCCCUUUCCUGUAACCCCAUCCUCCAGGCCUUUCUCCCCGGCGCUCUGAAGCCUGAAAACGAUCCCUCUUCGUGACUGUGGCCAGCCUGGUGCCGCUUGGCAGCCCCGUCACCCGCAGCGGGACAUUUAAUCUGCAGUGGCUUCUUGCCAUGGUUGUAGCCUCUUCCCUUAUUUGGGUUCUUUUCUGGAUGCCCCCGCCACCCAAACCAGGUCAGGCCUCCUGUCCCACCAACUGCGCGCUGUAGCUUCCCCUCAGGCACGUUACGUGUAAGAGUCAAAACGAAACAGAGAUUUGUGUACUUAUCUAUCAGUUGCCCGGGAGCUCCAUGGGGCAGGAAUCAGGUCUGUCUUCAUCCCCGCCGUGUCCCCUGCGUCACCCAGCACAGGGCCCCACAUCAGCAGGUGCUCAGUCCCAGUGAGGCAUGAAUGAAUGAGUGUUUGCCAGAGUCAAUAGCUGGGCAUUUAUCAUGAAGGCAAUAGGAAGCGACAGAGGUGUUUUGGGCAGGACUGGACCCGUUGUUUUCAAACUGCCGUGUGUAUAGAUCCCCUGAGGGCUUGUUAAAAUGCAGAUUCUUGAGUCACUGGGUCUCGGGAGGGGUCGGAGGGGCCUGAAGUUCCACGUCUCUGACAAGCGCCCCAGUGAUGCCAAUGUUUUGAGUAGCCAGGGUCUUGCUGUGUUCAGGACAGCAGCUACCUACCUCCCGUGGCUGCUGGGCACCUGCAGUGCGGCUAAUGUGAGCCGAGAUGACUUUAAGUGUAAAAUACCCACCAGGUUUCAAAGACUCAGUCCAAAAAACAGAAUGUAAAAUAUCUCAAUAAUUUUUGUAUUGAUCACAUGUUAAUCUGAUCACAUGUAAUAUUUUGGAUAUA
ensembl:lncRNA